UUACUUCUCUUCUUCUCCCUCCCCUCCGGCCAAUCCCUCCCCUUGCCCAGCUCCGGCGCCGCGCUCCAAUGCCGUGUGAGGAGGCCUGGGGGGCGGGGGAGGACGAGUCGCGGUAGCGGAGGAGCCGGGGGGCAGACAGACCCAGCAGAGGGAGGAGGAGGAGGACUCAUCCCAGCCUGGUUCUGCAGAGGAGCUCGGUGUUAGCCCGAGGGAGCCGGGCAGCGCGGCUGAAGCGAACGCCUCGCUGCAGAGAGACGGAGCGGCGGAGGGAGAGGCUGGGCCGGCUCCCCUCCCUGCGCCGGGCUCUCCUAGGGGAGGAGGGCGGGUGGCUGCUCGUUCCGGCCUCCUCCUGUCUCUUUAACCACCCCAAAAUGAUUCAGCUCCAUGGCUACCACUGACGGGAAUGUCCCUGCCCGGCUCAGGCUGCUGCCGCCGCCCUGCUGCGUGCCAGCCCUGUACGUAUCUGCCUUCGCCUGGCUGCUCCUAGGCGCCCCAGCCUGCCGCGCUGCGGAGCCCCCGAGAGCCCCUCGCCGCUCCUCCGCACCCAGCCGCUCCCCCAGGGCCCCGCGGCGGGGAGGUCUGCUCUGCCGAGAGUCACCCCCCUCUAGCUACACACAGCUCGGUUGGGAGCCGGGGAGGGGGGCGGGCGGUUGCUUUCUGAGUUGGCCGGAUAACGUGGGUAAUUUCUUCCCCACCCCCCAGCACCCCGCCCCCCGGAGAAGAGGGAUAGGGGGGAGUGGAGAUCGGAGGGGAAAGUGAACGGCAAAGGAUUGAAAGUGUCACAUUCACUGGCUCUGAUCUGAAGGCGGCGGAGGGACCCGGCCUCACCCCCCAGCCCCCGAGAGGAGGAGGAGGAAAAGGGGCGGUUUAGUGGCAGCGCCGGCUGUGCCGAGGCGUCUCAGCCUGUGCUGUGUGCGCCAGCCGGGAGAGGAGGGGGUUGUGUGUGGUGCCUCUCCCCUGGGUUGCAUGCAAAGCUAACUGUGUGGCUGUCUCUCUCCGGGCCGGGGGAUUGCACUCUUAAAAUAAACCCGGUACAAUGCACCAGCCUGACUCAGCCGCAGACAUUAGUCCUAGGAAGAUGGCGCACCCGGCAAUGUUUCCUAGAAGGGGCAGCGGCAGCAGCGGCGGCGGCAGCUGCGUUACUGCGCUCAAUGCACCAGGUACCGGCGCUGGUAGCGGUGCCCUCUCCACCGAGGAUUAUCCGCCGCCUCUGCUCAUCCAGCCGCCGCCUCCGUCUCUUGCAGCAUCUUCAUCGGCGGGUCCACAGCCGCCACCCCCUCCUCCACAAAGCCUGAAUCUCCUUGCCCAGUCUCAGCUCCAGCCACAGCCUCUUGCACAGGCUGGAGCCCAAAUGAAAAAGAAAAGUGGCUUCCAAAUUACCAGCGUGACCCCUGCUCAGAUCUCUGCCAGUAUGAGCUCUAACAACAGCAUAGCGGAGGACACGGAAAGCUACGACGAUCUGGAUGAGUCCCACACUGAAGACCUGUCUUCUUCAGAAAUUUUGGAUGUUUCUUUAUCCAGGGCCACUGACUUGGGUGAACCUGAACGGAGCUCCUCCGAAGAGACUUUAAAUAACUUCCAAGAGGCUGAGACUCCUGGGGCCGUCUCUCCAAACCAGCCUCACCUUCCUCAGCAGCAUCCCCCUUUGCCACAUCACCCACAGCAGAGUGUUGUGAUCAAUGGAAAUGUUCACCCCCAUCAUGGUCACCAUCACCACCACCUUCAUCAUCACCACCAUGGGCAUCAUCAUCCAUCGCAUCCCGGGGUGGGUAGUACACCAGCUUCUGGAGGACCACCCCCAAGUCCAUCAUUUAGAAAGCUGUCCACAACUGGAAGCUCUGACAAUGUUAUCACAACUGCACCAGUUUCUGCUGCAUCAUCCACUGGUACACCUACAGCUGCCCUGUCUAAUAUUCGCACUACAAGUACUGGCAAUAUAGGUGUAAGUCCUGUUACUGGAACUAGUACGUUAAGUAAUGUGGGUGGUGGUAGUCCUAGUAUGACAAGCAGCAUGCUUGGUAACGUUAAUAUAAACUUAAGCAACAUCACAAGUACUGCUAAUGUACAUGCUUUGUCUGGAACCAGCAGCAAUGUUAAUGUGAAUAUCUUGAGUGGUGUUGGCAAUGGUACGUGUGCUUCCUCUAAUGUCAUUAAUAAUGUUACUAAUCCAACUGCAGGAAUGGCAGUGGGAUCAAGUCAGCAGCAGCCUGCAGCUGGCACAUCAAGGUUUAGAGUUGUAAAAUUAGAUUCUAGUUCUGAACCUUUUAAAAAAGGUAGAUGGUUAUGCACUGAAUUCUAUGAUAAAGAAAACACUGUAGCAGUUACAGAAGGAGUAGCAGUAAACAAAGCGGUAGAGACUAUAAAACAAAAUCCACUUGAAGUGACUUCUGAAAGGGAGAGCACCAGUGGGAGUUCUGUUAGCAGCAACGUAAGCACACUGAGUCACUACACAGAAAGUGUGGGAAGCGGGGAAAUGGGAGCACCUACUGUGAUACAACAGCAGACAUUUCAAGGUGUGGGUCCACAGCAGAUGGAUUUUAGUUGUGCUGGACCUCAGACUAUUCCAGCAUCCAAUAUACCGCAGAGUAUUUCUCAAUCACAGCUUGCACAAGUACAAUUGCCUUCUCAAGAAGUAAAUUAUCCACAGCAAAAGCAAGGAGUCCAGUCUUCAGCGCAGGCUACUCUACCAGCUGUUACUGGUGUUCAGCCAACUCCAGUUAAUGUAGUAGGUGUAUCAUUAGGUCACCAACAACCUGCUAUUCCAAGUGUGGCUCAACAGCAGCUACCAUAUUCUCAACCCUCACGAUCUGUGCAAACUUUGCCUGUUGUACCACAGCAGCAGUUACAGUAUGGACAACAACAGACACUUCCCAUGCAGAUGGCCCCUGCACGAGUUAAACCAGUGAAUCAGAGUUCUGUGACAGGGACCAUACCAGACUACAUACAACAUCAGCAGAUACUUCAACCUCCAGUGCCUGCUGUGCAAUCCAGCUCUACAGGAGUAGGAGCAGGAACACCGGUUCCUGUUGCUCAGGCACCAAGCAUCCAACCUUCUGUACAAGUACACCCUGCUGUGGCACCAGCUCAGCCUGUUGCACAUGCUCAGACAGCAAUGCCACCCGUAGGUACUAGUGGUCAAAUUAUUAACAUUGGACAACAAGGAAAUGUACCUGCUGUGGUACAGCAGCCACCUGUUGCAAACCAAAUUACACCUUCAGUUAUGCAGCAAAGUGCUGCUCCUCCAUCUUCACAAGUGGUGCAGCCUGUUCAGACUGGGAUAAUUCAGCAGGGACUACAAGCUGGUGCUUCAAGCCUUCCUCCGCAAAUGGUCAUUGCUUCACAAAAUGCUUUGUUACCUGUACAACCCCAGGCACAAGUAGAAACUGUAGUUCAAGGAAUGACCAGCCACCCAUUGCCUGCAGUUAGCCCUAUACCUUCUACUAGUACCGUUCCUGCUCCAAGUCAAGCUAGUUCAAAUGUACCUCUUGAUAUACCUUCUGCUCCUGUAAGUUUGGGUCCAUCACAGAACAUAGCACAAGCUUCAGCUGUGCAAAAUGGGAAUUUGAUUCAAAGUGUUAGUCAGCCUCCCUUGAUAUCAACUAGUAUAAGUAUGCCAGUGGCACAGAAUGUGCCACAGCAGAUACCGCUAAACUCUACCCAGUUCUCUGCACAAUCACUAACUCAGUCAAUUGUAAGCCAAAUUGAAGAUGGCAGGCGCCCUACAGAACCUUCCUUAGUUGGUUUACCGCAAGCUGCCAGUGGUGAAAGUGGUGUUGGAGCGUCAGCUGUUUCAGAUGGGAGUGGCAGCAACAUAACAUCCUCUGCUUCCCUUUUUCCACUGAAGGUACUGCCAUUGACAACGCAUCUUGUUGAUGGAGAGGAUGAGAGAAAUGACUUCUUCAGAGGCAGCAGCGAACAUUUUUCAAGGAAAUUUCUGGCACCCCUUUCCCUAGAGACUGAAAGCAUCCUUCAUGACAGUUGCUUUUAAUUCAAUGUGGAACACACCCCUCACCCUACAAGACUGUGGAACAGACUGUUCAAAGUAUUUCCCUGCUGAACUGACCACUUGAAAAAAACAUUGAGGGAUUCUUGAUCCUAACAGCUGGUCUUACAGCUUGACUCAAAUGAAGGAGAGGGUCCUGUGAGAUGCAUAAAACCAUCUAAAAUAUGGUUAAUCAGACUUUGAAACCCACAUCGUUAAGAGGGAUACAGAAUGACUGAGUCUAACAUUGCACACUGGUAUGCCUAUGAAGAGGCAUUACCAAAGUUAAUUAUGUCUAGUGCAAAUGCUGGGAGGUCUGACUGAGCAAAGCAGCUGACCCCCAAAGCAAAGGGAAGAAACCAACAGGAAAGAUGAUUGAAGAAAGGAAGAAGACAGAAUCCAAGAAAUAUCAGAGGUUCAAGUAAAUACAUGGAUAAAGCUUGCAAGUCUCCAGCUGUACUACUGUGAGCAGAUCUUCAAAUCUCAAAUUAAGUGAAGUUGGGCCUCCUCAUCCUCUGCAUAGGCGACCUCAGGGGAAUCUGUGAAACCUGCUUCUCUUGUGCUCCAGACACUGCUGCUUUUAUAAGACCAAUUCCCCCACCCACCCACCCGCCCCUUGCACUUCUGGUUCAAUUUCUGUAACUAUCAAGUAUAUCUGUAAAGAGAACUUAUGGAAAAUAAUGGAUUUAUUUAAUCAGUUACUCCUUCUCUGGGUUUUUAGGAAAGAGUUGAGCCCAAAUUGUCAAAAUGUCAAAAUAUACACUAUUAUACAUUUGAAAUUUCUACAAAUUGAAGCAAAUUGUUAACUUAAAUUUAAGUGUUUUGGAGGGCUCAGGAGAGAAAUGCGGAGGGAAAUAUAAUUCAGUGUGGCUUGUCACCCUUUUAAGGUGUUUUGGGGGAAAGCCUGUUCUAUACAUAGUUAAAAUCAGUAUGUAGCAGUUCUUUAUAAGAGAAUUUCUAUAACCAAAUUCAGUUUAUUGUGGUGCCAGAUCAGCUGAGAAAUAAGUAGAAGUGUCUGGCAUUACUUGAAGCAUAUUACUGAACGUCGUAGGCAAACUUUUCUGAAGAACAAAGUUUAUUUUUUGCGCUUCAGAUUUCUAAAAACCACCCCAAAACUAGUUUUGGAAAUUCUUAUAGGGGAUUAACAUUAGCCUUUACAGGAGUGGAAGAGCAUAUAUAUUCCCACCCCCCUGAUCUGCUUCUGGCAGUUGGAAUAAACUAAUCAGAUGCUUGUGCCUCCUUCCACUUAGUUUCUUAAAUCAGUUCACCAUGAAACAUUUUUAACUAAUGCCUAGAUCUUUCAUUAAAUCAACCAGCAUACCUAAAUUGCCUAACAAUCUUAACAUAGCCCCCAGGCUACUGCUUCAUGGCAGUUGUGAUUUCUUAUUAUGUUGGAAUGCAUUUCAGUUGAAGUAUAUUGUCUAAAAAUAAUUGUUUAGAUAGUGCUGCUUAAAUACAUACUUACAUAGUGAGCCAUUCACAGAGGAUUUACUUAAAUUGGGGCCCUUGCAGAUUAAAAAAAUCAUUCAUGUGGCUUUUCCUUUGCCAAGAAUAGCUAUCAAAAUGCUUAUUGCCUACAUCCUGAUUUCUGCUGUAGUCAUAUAGUCUGUAAAAUACACAUAAUUUAUAAUUCAGUGUUUUUUAGAAAAUUGAUAAAAUGUUUGUUAAAAUAUGGAAUUGCAGUAACUGAUUUAAAAUAAAUUUAUUUAAACUGAUUUCUUUAAUCCACAAACACAAUUGUGUGGUGAUGCCGUAUAAAGUUCAGUGUGGUAAAUCAAAAGUGAAGAUGUAUUUCACUUUUUAAAGAAAGCUGUCUUUGUCGUACUUUGAAAUCAGUAUCUCACUUAUGCAUAUUGAAUAGCUUAUUUACUAUAGGUACAUUUAUUUUGACUUUUUUGCAUCCAGAGAUUUAAAAUUCAAUUGUAGAAGUUACUUAAGAGCUUCAGGACUAAACAUCUUUAAAUCCAAGAAAAGGGAAAAAUAUGUGACUUAGGAUGAGGACCUAAGUAUGUGACUAAGUCCCAUUGAUUUAAAGUUAAGAACGUGCUUAAGUGCCCUUCCUGAAUAGGCAUCCUUCUCUGAAUUGAGGUAUUAAAUAACUUUAUUUGGUGAAGGAUAAUCUAAAUUACUCUGCACACCAACUGAGAAUUGUUUUAAUAGUAAAGUCUCUAAAGACAACAUUAAGUUUUAAAAAAAAGCUUUAAAAAAAUUACUUGGCUCUGUUACAACCUCUUGGAAACUUAACUAUCCAUAUAAAAUUUAUUUCUAUUCAUGAAAAUAAUUUUUUUUUAACACUUUUAAAAAUAACAUAGUUUUUUGUUGGUAUUUUGAUACUUCUGCUCUAUGCACCAGCAUUGUGUAAUGUAAUCUUUGGUACUCCGAAACCUGCAGCUUGACUUCUGGAGUGUUUUAGAAAGGUGUCUAUUGAUUAUGUAUUAUCAAAUAUUAAUAAAGGUAUUAAAACAAUUUGUUUCCUUAUGUUUAU